rnacentral:snRNA from 1 species
GUGCUCGCUUCGGCAGCACAUAUACUAAAAUUGGAACGAUACAGAGAUGAUUAGCAUGGCCCCUGCUCAAGGAUGACACACAAAUUCGUGAAGCGUUCCAUAUGUUU